rnacentral:rRNA from 1 species
GACGAACGCUGGCGGCGUGCUUAACACAUGCAAGUCGAACGGAAAGGCCCUGCUUUUGUGGGGUGCUCGAGUGGCGAACGGGUGAGUAACACGUGAGUAACCUGCCCUUGACUUUGGGAUAACUUCAGGAAACUGGGGCUAAUACCGGAUAGGAGCUCCUGCUGCAUGGUGGGGGUUGGAAAGUUUCGGCGGUUGGGGAUGGACUCGCGGCUUAUCAGCUUGUUGGUGGGGUAGUGGCUUACCAAGGCUUUGACGGGUAGCCGGCCUGAGAGGGUGACCGGCCACAUUGGGACUGAGAUACGGCCCAGACUCCUACGGGAGGCAGCAGUGGGGAAUAUUGCACAAUGGGCGGAAGCCUGAUGCAGCAACGCCGCGUGCGGGAUGACGGCCUUCGGGUUGUAAACCGCCUUCGCCUGUGACGAAGCGUGAGUGACGGUAAUGGGUAAAGAAGCACCGGCUAACUACAUG